UGGCACGGUUGUGCCUUCAUCUUUGCCUCUACCACCCCCACCUCCUGUGCCGUCCACGCCUGCCACAGCAAACUUGGGUAUUCCUUUGCCUCCACCACCUCCUGGUCCCCCACCUAAAGAUCAAGUUGCUGUUCGCCCUCCACUACCUCCACCUCCUCCCCUUCCACAGUCUGCACAGCCACCUCCACCUGGCACUAGUGGGAACAUGCCAGAUGACUUGACCUCCAAGGAUCUUGCUCAGGUAAGCUCUUCUAACAUCCUCUCUGGAUAUGCCACCUUUCUGGCUUGAGCAUAUAAACAAUAUGUAUGUUUUAAGUGUUUGUGUAAUCUUAAGAUCUAAAGAGUUUAGUUUAUCUACAAAACAUGCAAAAUAUUUGGUUGGACAAUAUACAUGAUUUCCUCAAGGUCCCAUGUCUGUUGUUGAAUACUCAAAUAUUGAGCAGUAGAGAGUUUGAUACUGUGCCCUUUCUCACUAACAAAGGUACAUCCAUUGAGAAAAGCUAAAAAUAAAAUAAAUUUAAGAGAUCUCUUGCCUAUGGCCUUCAAAAAGCCUUGCUUGGAAGGGUCUCUAGUGAAUUUUUUGUUUAGCCCUAAGGUGCAAGGUCUAGGCGCAUGUCUUGUCAACAUUGAUCUUCUUACACAGAAAGAUCUACACUUGGUCAAAAGCUGAGAACGGUGAAAUUGUUUCCUAAUUCUUUAGAAAUAUUUUCUGUGAGAAAAAUGUUAAUUUGUCUGUCUUGCUCUCCUUCUUAGGUGCCAACUGUACUCCCUCCCCCUCCUCCUGGAAUGCCCCCUAAAUUGGCUACUAAUCAAGGUGAAGGUGGUCCGUCAGAAGCUGAUACCAAUAACCAUACAGCAAUUUCUAAAAUGGUUCCACCACCUCCACCUCCUCCCAGACAACCUCCGGUGCCUGGACCUGCCAUGGUCCCAGCUUUACAGCCAGAUAUUUUACCCACUGGAAUACCAGGUUUCCCUCCGCCGCCGCUUCCAGACAUGCGGGCAGCACUAUCUGCCAGUGGACUUCCUAGU
rnacentral:lncRNA from 1 species